rnacentral:rRNA from 1 species
AUUGAACGCAGGCGGCAGGCCUAACACAUGCAAGUCGAGCGGUAGCACAGAGAGCUUGCUCUCGGGUGACGAGCGGCGGACGGGUGAGUAAUGUCUGGGAAACUGCCUGAUGGAGGGGGAUAACUACUGGAAACGGUAGCUAAUACCGCAUAACGUCGCAAGACCAAAGUGGGGGACCUUCGGGCCUCUUGCCAUCGGAUGUGCCCAGAUGGGAUUAGCUAGUAGGUGGGGUAACGGCUCACCUAGGCGACGAUCCCUAGCUGGUCUGAGAGGAUGACCAGCCACACUGGAACUGAGACACGGUCCAGACUCCUACGGGAGGCAGCAGUGGGGAAUAUUGCACAAUGGGCGCAAGCCUGAUGCAGCCAUGCCGCGUGUAUGAAGAAGGCCUUCGGGUUGUAAAGUACUUUCAGCGGGGAGGAAGGGAGUAAAGUCAAUACCUUUGCUCAUUGACGUUACCCGCAGAAGAAGCACCGGCUAACUCCGUGCCAGCCGCCGCCGUAA